rnacentral:rRNA from 1 species
UGGGGAAUUUUGGACAAUGGGCGAAAGCCUGAUCCAGCCAUUCCGCGUGAGUGAAGAAGGCCUUCGGGUUGUAAAGCUCUUUCGGCAGGAACGAAAUGGUCACGGUUAAUAACCGUGACUUCUGACGGUACCUGAAGAAGAAGCACCGGCUAACUACGUGCCAGCAGCCGCGGUAAUACGUAGGGUGCGAGCGUUAAUCGGAAUUACUGGGCGUAAAGCGUGCGCAGGCGGUUUUGUAAGUCAGAUGUGAAAGCCCCGGGCUUAACCUGGGAAUGGCGUUUGAAACUACAAGGCUAGAGUGUGUCAGAGGGGGGUAGAAUUCCACGUGUAGCAGUGAAAUGCGUAGAGAUGUGGAGGAAUACCGAUGGCGAAGGCAGCCCCCUGGGAUAACACUGACGCUCAUGCACGAAAGCGUGGGGAGCAAACAGGAUUAGAUACCCUGGUAGUCCACGCCCUAAACGAUGUCAACUAGUUGUCGGGAGGGUAACCCUCUUGGUAACGCAGCUAACGCGUGAAGUUGACCGCCUGGGGAGUACGGUCGCAAGGCUA